UUUCCGUAGGUGAACCUGCGGAAGGAUCAUUAAUGAGUUGUCAUGGGGUUCGAUGCUGGCAGCCAGUUUUUGGAUGCAUGUGCUUGCCCUAACAAUCAUCUUCUUCCAAACACCUGUGCACAUUUUUGAGGGAGUCUUGAGUUGGUUGCCGCUCUUGGGUGAUUUUCUCACAUUCCCUUAAAUCAUUAUACGCUAUUAACAAUGUUGAACGUGCUCUGUGCCGCAAGGCCAUUAAUAUAAUACAACUUUUAACAACGGAUCUCUUGGCUCUCGCAUCGAUGAAGAACGCGGC
rnacentral:misc_RNA from 1 species